rnacentral:lncRNA from 1 species
UGAGGCAUACUGCAACCUGAGCGUGGGCUAAGCACUUCUUUUCCCCAACCCUCUCAUGCCUCAUCUGUUAAAGGGGGCUGAUGGGACCAGCAACGAUCCAGAUGGUGGCUGUGCUCUGUCUGCGUGGGUCCCAGAGUGAGAAGCUGAGGUGCCGGCCUUGUUGAACAGGGAGGGCUGCUCUCUGCUCUGGAGAUGGCACUGUGCUCUCAUGUCCACAUUGUGGAAGGCGGAAGGGCGAGAGAGGCUGGGUGACACCUCUUCUGUAAGGAGCUUAACGAGGGCUCUGCCCUCAGUACUUAAUCAUCUUUCUAAAGGCCCCACCUCUUAACACUAUCACACUGGUGAUUACGUUUCAACACAUGAAUUCUGGGGGGACACCAUCAUUCAAACCAUAACACCAGGUAUCACUUGCCCUGUCCACCUUCUGGGGCUGUGGGAUGCCAACUCCGGGGUCGCUGGAUCUCACAGCAGGCUCCAGUUGUCUUUCAGUGCCUUAGAAACACGAGCGAGUGGUUCUGAACAGCCGCGGUCUUGCAUGCCUGCCCCUCAGCAACGGCCCUGCUCCAAACCGGUGUUACAGUGAUCUGAUUAUUGUAAUUGAUGACAUUAGGAAUAAGGAAUCCACACAGAAUAAUACAGGUGCCUGUCAUGCCAGAGUGGUUUUAUUCAUUGUUAGAGAAGUUCAUAAAGUUGAAAGAAAGCAUCUACAUGGGCUAGAACAGCAAAAAGCAUGUUUUAGUCCUUUCUUAAUUUGUGAAUAAAAUGAUGAAUUCCAGAA